UCUGUUUGAUCCUGGCUCAGGACGAACGCUGGCGGCGUGCCUAAUACAUGCAAGUCGAGCGAGCGGAACUAACAGAUUUACUUCGGUAAUGACGUUAGGAAAGCGAGCGGCGGAUGGGUGAGUAACACGUGGGGAACCUGCCCCAUAGUCUGGGAUACCACUUGGAAACAGGUGCUAAUACCGGAUAAGAAAGCAGAUCGCAUGAUCAGCUUUUAAAAGGCGGCGUAAGCUGUCGCUAUGGGAUGGCCCCGCGGUGCAUUAGCUAGUUGGUAAGGUAAAGGCUUACCAAGGCGAUGAUGCAUAGCCGAGUUGAGAGACUGAUCGGCCACAUUGGGACUGAGACACGGCCCAAACUCCUACGGGAGGCAGCAGUAGGGAAUCUUCCACAAUGGACGCAAGUCUGAUGGAGCAACGCCGCGUGAGUGAAGAAGGUUUUCGGAUCGUAAAGCUCUGUUGUUGGUGAAGAAGGAUAGAGGUAGUAACUGGCCUUUAUUUGACGGUAAUCAACCAGAAAGUCACGGCUAACUACGUGCCAGCAGCCGCGGUAAUACGUAGGUGGCAAGCGUUGUCCGGAUUUAUUGGGCGUAAAGCGAGCGCAGGCGGAAGAAUAAGUCUGAUGUGAAAGCCCUCGGCUUAACCGAGGAACUGCAUCGGAAACUGUUUUUCUUGAGUGCAGAAGAGGAGAGUGGAACUCCAUGUGUAGCGGUGGAAUGCGUAGAUAUAUGGAAGAACACCAGUGGCGAAGGCGGCUCUCUGGUCUGCAACUGACGCUGAGGCUCGAAAGCAUGGGUAGCGAACAGGAUUAGAUACCCUGGUAGUCCAUGCCGUAAACGAUGAGUGCUAAGUGUUGGGAGGUUUCCGCCUCUCAGUGCUGCAGCUAACGCAUUAAGCACUCCGCCUGGGGAGUACGACCGCAAGGUUGAAACUCAAAGGAAUUGACGGGGGCCCGCACAAGCGGUGGAGCAUGUGGUUUAA
rnacentral:rRNA from 1 species